AGCGCCACUAAAUCUCACCCUAACGUCCCUUCGCUUUAGGAGAUACUUGCGAGACUGUUAGAGGGAUCCAGGUGGCCACCUCCUGGACAGCAGCUCCCCAGCGGGCAUCCCGGGAGCGGCGGCGAGAGACCCCCCGAUGGCAUCUCAGACAUUAUCCCCGGACGGUCCUUCCAGGCGACACGGCGGGUUUCGGGUCAGCCCUGGCAGCGAGGGAUGCCACGAAGUCGGUGGUGCGGGACCGGCAGGAAGCCCUGGCGCGGGCGGUAGAGCCCCGCGGGACGUGGCGGUAGCCGCCGCGGCCAGGAGCCUGCGGGAACCCGGGGCAGAGGCGAGCCCGCAGCCUCUCCUGCGGGAGACGCUCUCACCAAACGCGAGAAGAGGGCUCCUGCCGUCUCCCUUCAAAACUACUAAUUAAUAAUCACCCGGGAGCGGGGGAGGGGAGGGAGGAUUAGCUUCUACGAGCACGCGUGGGACAGCUCCUGGGAGCUGCGCGCCGAUGCAGUGUAGUGGCAGAGGAUGCGGGGGAAGCUCCGCGACCCGCGGGCCCCGGCCCUUGCGCAUCUUCACCGGCCGCGCUCAAAACCGCAAACGGCGCGUGGGGCCGUGGCUCGGCACAGCCCAGCAGAGCACCGCCGCCUCCCCCCGGCCGCCUCCCCCUCCCCUGGCAGCUAAAAUAAUAAAAGAAACGCCACGAACAUUUACCUGCUUCUGGAAAGAUAGAGCCCGUUGUCUUCCCGGUGACAAUUUACACUUCGGUAUUUUCUUCCCUCCGCGGCAUUAAAGGUUACCGCAAGCAUGGCCAAUCUUGAAACGAUGUUUUAAAAGUCAAAGGGUAAAUGCUACAACAAAAGAAAUUACAGUAGGUGGUUAUUAGAAUAGCCAAGUAUAAUUUCAUUUUCUCUUUAAACUCUUUAACCAAAACAGCCGGUUUCGUAAUUAGUAAAUUAACUUUCACAAACUAUCUUCGAAUAAUUCCCUUUUUAAACGUCUCUUUUGAUGGGUAAGUCUAUUUAUUACGGAAACCUACGUGUAACGUAAGAGCGAAAGAUUUGUUGAUUAUCUUUGCCGAUAUUAAAGAUCGUCUAAGCUUGCAGAAUCUGACGCUUCUUAUGGGUACACACAAAACUAACCCACUCGCGGACGGCAAUUGUGAACGCAGACCAUGCCCGGGCAGGGGGCGACCGCUGCCCUUGCCGACACCGCCGGCCCCCCGGCCUUGCUCCCGCUCGGAUCCCCCCGCCCGCCUCGGGGCUCCCCCCCACCCCGCCUCGGGGCUCCAGCCAGCGCACCCCCCUGUACCCGCAGGGGCCUGGCGGGGCCACGGGGAAGUGCAGAAUCGGGAGCGGGGCUGCCGCUGGGUUUGAUCCUUUCUGGGGCGGACCGACACCUGUGGUCUGUCCCUUUCAUCUCCGUCUCUAAAAUGGACAGCGUACAUUCAGAAAAAAAGAAGUCUUUGGCCAACCUAAGCGGAGUGUUUAAUUUCCCGGUAAAACUAGACCUCCCUUGGUAAAAA